UACGAAGGGUGCAAGCGUUAGUCGGAAUUACUGGGCGUAAAGCGUGCGUAGGCGGUUUCUUAAGUCGGAUGUGAAAGCCCUGGGCUCAACCUGGGAAUGGCACUCGAUACUGGGAAGCUGGAGUACGGUAGAGGAAGGUGGAAUUCCCGGUGUAGCAGUGAAAUGCGUAGAGAUCGGGAGGAACAUCUGUGGCGAAGGCGACUGCCUGGACCAGCACUGACACUGAGGCACGAAAGCGUGGGGAGCAAACAGGG
rnacentral:rRNA from 1 species